GGCGGGUUGGCCGAACGGACGAGGCAUCCACCUUCUAAUUGGAUUCAUGGGGGUUCGAAUCCUCCACCCGCUA
rnacentral:tRNA from 2 species